ensembl:lncRNA
CACUGUUGCACUUAAGCUUUUCCUCUUCAGAAAAUACGCCUUUCAUGGUAAUUCUGAGGAGCCUCACAUGCUAGCUUCAUAGAUACAGACUUAACCAUGAGUAACCCCGGCCUUCUGUGUUCUCAAUGUACAGCUGUUUAAAAAUGAGUUGCUGUCAUGCUGGUGUUUGCUUUUUUUGGUAAGAAAAGUAAGGUGGUGAACAGACCCAAAAUCUGGUGUUUAUCAGAUGGACAUCUAAAAGCUGUGCUGUCCUCUCUGUGGGAAGUCAUUGUGUGUGCCAUCAUCAUUCUCUUCUUUUCCACACCAUCCAACUGUCAGGCCAGGUUCAGCAGCUGCUCCGCUGUGGUCUGACAGUAUGGGUCCUGCAGAGCAUCCUGUUUUGGUGGGAUUGACCAUCACCAUAGUCUAUAAAAAUCAAGCACAGGAAUGAUUUAGCAGUGGUUGAAUCUCUUAUUGCCUGUGACUUUGUGAGACUCUGGGGACCGAGACUUCCCGUUAAUUUGGUUCACAGGUAUCAGGUACAUGUGUUUGAUAUCAUUUGAGGAGUUUCAGCUGUACUUUCUGUGGGCCUAUAUCAUUCUUCUCUGGGGAGUGAGUGAAGCAACAUGCACCUCCCUCAAUGCCUGGAGCUCCUCCCAGUUUGAGAAAGGGUUAUGAUCCUGUACACAGUGGCAGGCCACAGUGGGUGUUCUGUGUUAGUGGAGUGACAUCUAAGCAAGCCACUGAUUUUCUCUUUGAAACACCAAAGGAAGUAUGGAUGCCUCAGGGUUGCUUAUCCAAGGUGAACAGCAGGCAUAGCUUAUUUUGAGUGGAGACAAGGAAGUAUAUUUGGCAUACUCACCACGGGAAACUUUGUCUGUGAGUAUAGCUGGGAACACUGCAUUUCAGUGACCCACAAAACCCAGAGUCCAUUUUGCUGUCCAGAGGUGUCCCUUCCAUAUGCUUAAACUUCAGCACGUGUCAGGUUUCAUUAGUCUUCCUGUGUAUGUAAAUGAAAAUGUAAUGUACUUGGCUUCAUGGAAAUAUAAGCUAGAGCUCAGAUUUCACCUUGAAACGGACAUGUCUCAUGGUAUUUGAAUUCUUUCCUCAAAAUCCUAUGUGGAAAAUUAAUCCCAAUGCAAAGGUAUUGGGCAGUGGAGCCUCCUGGGAGGUGUGUGUCACGUGUGCUGUGUCCGUAGGUGUUGAUUAAUGCUGCUCUUGCCUAUCUGCAUUCUGCCCUGAGAAGAUAGAGCAAGAAGGCUUUCAUCAGGUGCUCGUGCCAUGAUGUUGGACUUCACAGCAUCCAAUACUAUGGGGACAUUCUCUUUUCUAUGAAUUACCCAGGAUCAAUGAAGUACAGAAUUUGUGAGUGAUGGACUAAUAUACUUGACACAAGAAAUCCCUAAGCGUCAAUGUUUGAAGAUACCCAUUCUUCGUUAGCUCCAUUGACUUACCACCAGUAAAA